rnacentral:rRNA from 1 species
CAGGCCUAACACAUGCAAGUCAUCAUGGCCCUUACGAGUAGGGCUACACACGUGCUACAAUGGCGCAUACAGAGGGCAGCCAACUUGCGAGAGUGAGCGAAUCCCAAAAAGUGCGUCGUAGUCCGGAUCGGAGUCUGCAACUCGACUCCGUGAAGUCGGAAUCGCUAGUAAUCGUGGAUCAGAAUGCCACGAUGAAUACGUUCCCGGGCCUUGUACA